UCUGAGUGCCACCCUCUGUGUUAAGGUCAUAACUCAGUGCCACCCUCUGUGUUAAGGUCAUAGGUUAGUGCCACUGCUGUGUAAGGUCAUAACUCAGUGCCACCCUCUGUGUUAAGGUCAUAGGUUAGUGCCACUGCUGUGUAAGGUCAUAACUCAG